CAGUAAAUCACUGAUAUGGUCUCUGCCAGGAAAUACCCAGACCUUUACCCUAUUAGAAGCCUAACUUUCUUAUCCUUUUCACAUGCACGAAAAAAAUCUCUAGGCAGGAAAGGUCACAGCUAAAUCUCAACUGCUUCAUUGUGUGUGCCACGCGCGCAGCGUCAAAAAUUCUGCAUUCUCUUCCCAGUUGCAUCACUCACUCACUGUGUGAGCGAGUAAGUCACUAAGCAUUCAACUGCCCUAGUGAUGGAUGCUAUAAAAAAGUUUUAGCUAUAACAUGGGGAUAAAGAUGUCUUCACAGGCCGUGUGAGGCUUAGUUAAUGUUUGCAAAGUGCUUUAGGCUCCUCAGAUGGCAUGUGCUCAGGAAAGGCAAAGGAUCAUUUUUAACAUAGAAAGCUUUUCCCUUCAACUUUAUUCAUCACAAGUGAUUUCCAAAUGCUCAUUCUAUUUCCUAGCAUGCAUCUGGUUCUGCAUAACAUCAUUUCAAACCACACAUAUCUAACAAGAGAUAAGGAUGAAGUCAUCCGAGUGCUAUCAACUGUGGGAAAAGAAGCAGAAUAUGCCAUGAGGUUAUCCUAAUCAUUUACAAAAAUAAACUGCUGUGGUAUGUGAAUUGGUUGUGCCAGACUGAGCCAAUGGUGCAUCCCGUGUGUAUCUAUGUGUUAGUUGAAUGAAGGGGCAAGAAUUAAGUCCUUGAAAUGUAAUCUUGCUUGGGCAGUUUCUAAAGCAAAAUGUAGCGUAUCUGGCCAAGCCUUCUUGGAGACAAUUCACUGCAGUUCUUUGUGCAACACUACUGGCAAGAAGCUAUCAGGCUUGUGGAUUAGUGCUGUCCAUAUUAAUCGCAAGGGUCUCCUUACAUGAUAGUGAAGAUGUGGAACUUUCCUCUGUGUUCACUGUAGUAGAUGAUGAUUUGUUCUGCUUGUUUCUGUUUUUUCACAAGUGACAGAUAGAUCCUGAGUAGAAUUGAAGAAUUUAGAAUUUGUUACUUUUUAGCCAGAUAUUUAACAUAUUGGAAUUUCAGAAUAGGAAAGUAUGGGUUGUUGACAAGUCAAGCUUAUAAUUAUAAAAUUACAGUGAAGCACCAGUCAGUCUUUUCAGCUGGGUCUCUUUCCUGCUUAUCAUCUUUUUCUGGUACCUCAAGAAAGCAGUGUUUGGUGGGGAGUGGAAAUCUACAAGGUCCAACUCCUACGUGCUUGCAUUGGUCCCACAAUCAUCCUUGCCCUUCUGAGACUCUCCACCCUUCUGUCAUGUCAUGUGGAUAAAUGACUCAUUCUAUUUGUGAUCUGCUGAGCUGAUUGACAGCUAGUCAAG